GGGCCGCCAUGUGGUGAAGGAUGACAUGACAGCCUGCCCCAAGUGUGAUUUCCCAGCCAUCUUCUCCGAAUUCAUCAAAUUGCUGGAGACUGAGGAAAAUUGUCCAAUGUGUUCUGAGAAAAUCAUCAAGGAAAAUUUACAGAAAGUGGCUGAUGUUAAUAAAUAUUUACACCCAGAAGAAGGCACUGUAGAGUAAUGACAACUACCUGUCAAUCAGACUUCAAUUUAAUGGCAGAUUAAUGGUUCUCUUAACUUAUGUGUGACAGAAGAAAUGACUCUUGGUUAGAAUGACAAAUAAAUGACUGUUCAAUUCUCUGAGAGGUUACAUAUCAGUUGUCUCCGUGAUACAAGUGUUUUAAAGGUGUCUGUUACAUGUAAGCUUAUUGUUACUCAAAUUCCGUCCAUUGUCUAUACUUCAAAUAUUUUCUAUAUUGGAAAUAGAUCUGAAUAAAUAUUGUGAUUUAA